GCUAUAAUCCUGGCUCCCAGGAAGACUGAGGCUACUGGAUCUCUGAAGUGGAGGUGUUCUGAGCUGCAGUGGGCCAUGCUGAUCAGAUGUCUGCACUAAAUUCCACAUUAAUGUGGUGAGCCUCCUAAAGUGAAGGGCCACCAUGCUGCCUAAAGAGGGGUGAAGUGGCCCAGGUCAGAGAUGGAGAUCAAAGGUCCUAUGUCAAUCAGAGUUGGAACAAAUCUGUAACUAGGCCCUGCAUUUCUAAACUGGGUGAGAUAGAGAGACCCAGUAUUU
rnacentral:SRP_RNA from 1 species